rnacentral:rRNA from 1 species
GACGAACGCUGGCGGCGUGCUUAACACAUGCCAGUCGAACGGAAAGGCCCUGCUUUUGUGGGGUGCUCGAGUGGCGAACGGGUGAGUAACACGUGAGUAACCUGCCCUUGACUUUGGGAUAACUUCAGGAAACUGGGGCUAAUACCGGAUAGGAGCUCCUGCUGCAUGGUGGGGGUUGGAAAGUUUCGGCGGUUGGGGAUGGACUCGCGGCUUAUCAGCUUGUUGGUGGGGUAGUGGCUUACCAAGGCUUUGACGGGUAGCCGGCCUGAGAGGGUGACCGGCCACAUUGGGACUGAGGUACGGCCCAGACUCCUACGGGAGGCAGCAGGGGGGAAUAUUGCACAAUGGGCGGAAGCCUGAUGCAGCAACGCCGCGUGCGGGAUUACGGCCUUCGGGUUGUAAACCGCUUUCGCCUGUGACGAAGCGUGAGUGACGGUAAUGGGUAAAGAAGCACCGGCUAACUACGUG